rnacentral:rRNA from 1 species
GACGAACCGUGCGAACGUUAUUCGGAAUCACUGGGCUUAAAGCGCGUGUAGGCGGGACGGCACGUCGGUCGCUGAAAGCCCCCGGCUCAACCGGGGACCGGCGCCGAUACGACCGCCCUGGAGGGACGUAGGGGGACCUGGAACUCCGGUGGAGCGGUGAAAUGCGUUGAGAUCGGAAGGAACGCCCGUGGCGAAAGCGAAGUCCUGGACGUCUGCUGACGCUGAGACGCGAAAGCCAGGGGAGCGAACGGGGAUUAAGAAACCCGUAGUACGUC